rnacentral:rRNA from 1 species
UGAAUACGAGAUGCUACGGCGUCGAAGCAGUCUAUGUCAUACUUCCAAGAAAAGCUUGCACUGUCAUAAACAAAUAAUGCCUGUACCAUAACCGACACAGGUGGGUAGGUAGAGUAUACUAAGGGGCGCGAGAUAACUCUCUCUAAGGAACUCGGCAAAAUGACUCCGUAACUUCGGGAGAAGGAGUGCCUUAUUUAUAAGGUUGCAAUAACAAGAUCCAAGCAACUGUUUACCAAAAACACAGGUCUCCGCUAAGUCGUAAGACGAUGUAUGGGGGCUGACGCCUGCCCAGUGCCAGAAGGUUAAAGAAGUUGGUUAGCAUCCGCGAAGCUGAUAACUGAAGCCCUGGUGAACGGCGGCCGUAACAAUAACGGUCCUAAGGUAGCGAAAUUCCUUGUCGGGUAAGUUCCGACCCGCACGAAAGGCGUAAUGAUUUGGAUACUGUCUCGGAGAGGGGCUCGGUGAAAUAGACUUGUCUGUGAAGAUGCGGACUACCUGCACCAGGACAGAAAGACCCUAUUAAGCUUUACUGUAACCUGAAAUUGAAAUUGGACUUUACUUGCGCAGUAUAGGUGGGAGGCGUUGAGAAUAUUCUUGCGGGAUUAUUGGAGCCAUCAGUGAGAUACCACUCUUGUAAUGUUAGAUUUCUAACUUUGUAUCAUUAUCUGGUCAAAGAACAGUUUCAGGCGGGCAGUUUGACUGGGGCGGUCGCCUCCUAAACGGUAACGGAGGCGCACAAAGGUUUCCUCUGAACGGGUAGAAAUCGUAUCUAGAGUGUAAAGGCAUAAGGAAGCUUGACUGUGAGACCUACAAGUCGAGCAGGGACGAAAGUCGGUCUUAGUGAUCUGACGGUGCUGAGUGGAAAGGCCGUCACUCAACGGAUAAAAGUUACUCUAAGGAUAACAGGCUGAUCUCCCCCAAGAGUUCACAUCGACGGGGAGGUUUGGCACCUCGAUGUCGGCUCAUCGCAUCCUGGGGCGGUAGUACGUCCCAAGGGUUGGGCUGUUCGCCCAUGAAAGCGGUACGCGAGCUGGGUUCAGAACGUCGUGAGACAGUUCGGUCCAUAUCCGGUGUAGGCGUUAGAAUAUUGAGAGGAGCCUUCUUUAGUACGAGAGGACCGAGAAGGACAUACCUCUGGUGUACCAGUUAUCGUGCCAACGGUAAACGCUGGGUAGCUAUGUGUGGAGUGGAUAACCGCUGAAAGCAUCUAAGUGGGAAGCCCACCUCAAGAUAAGUAUUCUCAUC